CUUAUUGGAGAGUUUGAUCCUGGCUCAGGACGAACGCUGGCGGCGUGCUUAACACAUGCAAGUCGAGCGGUAAGGCCCUUCGGGGUACACGAGCGGCGAACGGGUGAGUAACACGUGGGUAACCUGCCCUGUACUCUGGGAUAAGCCUUGGAAACGAGGUCUAAUACCGGAUACGACCACUGGAUGCAUGUCUGGUGGUGGAAAGUUCCGGCGGUAUGGGAUGGACCCGCGGCCUAUCAGCUUGUUGGUGGGGUAAUGGCCUACCAAGGCGACGACGGGUAGCCGGCCUGAGAGGGUGACCGGCCACACUGGGACU
rnacentral:rRNA from 1 species